AAUAAUUAAUAUUGAACCCUGAACGUGCCAAUCUCAUCUGAUCUUGGAAGCUAAGUGGGAUGUGUCCUCGUUAGUACUUGGAUGGGAGACCACCUAGGAAUACCAGGUGCUGUAGGUA
rnacentral:rRNA from 1 species